ensembl:lncRNA LINC00917 long intergenic non-protein coding RNA 917
AGAGUCAUUGUGGGGGAGGGGUUGGGCCAGCCAGGGCAGGCAGGGACAGCCCCUCUGAUGAGGAGGCCACUGGGCUGAGACCAAUGAAUGAGAUGGAGCCAGCCACGUGGGCUUGAGUCUGGGGGAGCCUGGCUGCCCAGAGGUGGCAGAUGACAUGAAGAAAUAACCAUGUAAGGGCUGGCUGUGUAUGAGAGCAAGCAUUGGGAAGGAUGAAUGCCAACUAUGUUCCAGGAACUUCCACUGUUCUCACACACCCAGGUGAGUGGUGUUCAGGUGGGUGGCACCCAGGUGAGUGACAUCCCAGUUGAGUGGCACCCAGGUGAGUAGCAUCCAGGUGAGUGACACCUAGGUGAGUGACAUUCAGGUUAGUGGCGUCUGUGUGAGUGGCAUCAUCCAGGUGAGUAGCUUCCAGGUGAGUGGCACCCAGGUGAGUGGCAUUCGGGUGAGUGGCAUUAUCCAGGUGACACCUGGGUGAGUGGCAUCCAGGUGAGUGAUAUCAUCCAGGUAAGUGGCACCUAGGUGACAUCCAGGUGAGUGACGACAUCCAGGUGAGUGACAUCAUCCAGGUAAAUGGCACCCAGGUGAGUAGCAUUCAGGUGAGUGACACCCAGGCGAGUGGCAUCCACGUGACUAGCAUUGUCCAGGUGCAUAACACCCAGGUGAGUGGCACCCAGUUGAGUGGUGCCCAAGUGAGUCACAUCCAGGUAAGUGGGGUCCAGGUGGUGGCACCCAGGCGAGUGGUGCCCAGGUGAGUGACAGCCAGGUGAAUGGUGUCCAGGUGAGUGGCAUCACCCAGGUGAAUGGUGUCCAGGUGAGUGGCAUCCAGGUAAGUGGUGUCCAGGUGGUGGCACCCAGGUGAGUGGUGUCCAGGUGAGGGGCAUCACCCAGGUGAAUGGUGUCCAGGUGAGUGGCAUCCAGGUGGGUGGUACCGUCGACGUGACAAUAGCUAAAAAUUAUUGGGCUCAUUGUGGACAGGCACUGUGCCGAGCUUGACAUCACUGAACUCAGUUCAUCCUCGCCAGGAGCUUGUGGGCCGUCCCUAGAUCAGAAUCCGAGGAGAAAGGACUUCCACACGGCAGCCAGCGAGCUGGAGGGCGGCCUCCUGCCACCACCAGGCUCCCUAACCCAGUCCUGGAUAUCUGUGAAAGAAUGAGUGGAUCCCCACAGGCCAGCACCAGGAGAUCAGAACCUUCUGGAAUCUUAAUAUGCGAGGACUCGGUGGAGAAGGCGGCACUGAAGAAGAGUCGUCCCUAGGCCAGGCUGGAGGGAAACUCAAGACGGCGGCCUGGCCCUCCUGGGUGGCGGAAGUGGGAGCAGCAGGAGCCCUGGCGGAUCCGGGAGGCCAGAAGAGCGGAAGCUUCCUCCCCUCUCAGGACAGCCACAAGGACUUUCGGGGGUCGUGGCAGCUGCUCCACUUCCAACUUCCAGAUCCCUCUCACUUUCCUCUUCCCACCAACUCCAACCUGGGACCAAGCAGGGGAAAGCAGCUGCAGCCCAGCUUGACGCCCCUGCAAAUGGAGACCUGUGCACCUGGUUGUGAGCAUUUUAAAGGGUGUCACACAGGGCAUACCCUUCGGUGCCUGGAUUCCUUUGAUGAAAGGGCAAAGCCUUGAACCUAAGUCAUCUUCGAGUCCUCAGCACUUCACCCAGAGCCUGGCACACAGUAGGAGCACAGAAAGGUUUACAUCCAGCAGGAGUUGGCCCUGAGCUCUGAGUCCAGAUCAUUGCUCUUGGCUGAAGCAGCCUGUCUACUCACAAAGAUGAGCAUGGUCCCUGCCACGAGGAAACUCGUGGUCCUGUGGACUGCGGUGUGGAGGGAAAGCUUGGGAUUCUGAGCCUGAUAAUGCACCAUUACAUCCCCACUCACUCGGGCUGUGUGAACCCAGCAAGUCACAGGAUCACUGGGUGGUGAAAGAAAGAAACACUCACAGAAGCGUCUGUGCUUGGAGAGCCAUCUGGUCCGUCAUUGUGACUGCUGCUCUCAUUGCUAUCAUGGGUGUCACCAUUGCCAUCACUCAAGGACUUCUCUCCAGGCCCCGAAGCCAAGCUGGUGCCUGGUUCCUCUGGGUUGGGAGAGGGGCUGGGCAUGGACAGGAGGAGGGAAAAGGGACCUGUGCUAGCAGGUGAUGCCAUCCAAGACAUCUGCAUCCUAAUCCCUGGAACCUGGGAUUCCACUAGGUGCCAUGGCAAAGAGGGAUUAAGGUGGCAGGUGGAGUGAAGGUUGCUAAUCAGCCGACCUUAAAGUAGGGAGAUGAUCCUGAAUGAGACAAAAGAGAGAACCAGUCAUGGUGUCAUGAGAAGGACUCAAAAUGCAACUGCUGACUUUGAAGAUUAAGGGGCUACAAACCAAGGAACGUGGUAGUCUCUGGAAAAGACAAGGAAUAGACGCUGCGUUGGGGCCACCAGAAGGAACCAGCCCUGUCAACACCCUAAUUUUAGCCCAGUGAGGCCUGUGCUGGACUUCUGACCUCCAGAACUGUAAACUAAUAAAUGUGUGUUGUUUCUGCCACUAG